UACGUAGGGGGCAAGCGUUGUCCGGAUUUAUUGGGCGUAAAGAGCGUGUAGGCGGCCUGAAAGGUCAGCUGUGAAAACUCGAGGCUCAACCUCGAGACGUCGGUUGAAACCAUCUGGCUAGAGUCCGGAAGAGGAGUGUGGAAUUCCCGGUGUAGCGGUGAAAUGCGCAGAUAUCGGGAAGAACACCGGUGGCGAAGGCGGAUCUCUGGGCCAUUACUGACGCUGAGGAGCGAAAGCGUGGGGAGCGAACAGG
rnacentral:rRNA from 1 species